GAUGAAGAACGUAGUGAAAUGCGAUAAGUAAUGUGAAUUGCAGAAUUCCGUGAAUCAUCGAAUCUUUGAACGCACAUUGCGCCCCCUGGUAUUCCGGGGGGCAUGCCUGUCCGAGCGUCAUUGCAACCCUCAAGCGCGGCUUGCGUGUUGGGCGCCGUCCCCCGUGGACGCGCCCGAAAGGCAGUGGCGGUACCGUGCUCCGGUGCCCGAGCGUAUGGGCUUAAAACCCGCUCUUGUGGCCCGGCCGGCGCUGGCCUCGACCCCCAACUUUACGAGGUUGACCUCGGAUCAGGUAGGGAUACCCGCUGAACUUAAGCAUAUCAAUAAGCGGAGGA
rnacentral:misc_RNA from 1 species